GGCCAUGCAGGCGAAGGAAUAUGUGCAUCCCACUGUGUACUCUCUCGCCUCCAUGACCUG
rnacentral:precursor_RNA from 1 species